GGAGAAGAGAAAAUGGUUAAAGUCUGUGGCCAGAUAUAGUGGCAGAACUUUCUAAUACCCGAAGGAGGGGAAGAUGCCACACUUGAUCCCUGACGCCUGUGAGCAUGAGAACAGUGUCCAACACAGAACAGAUUAACAAAUACUGAUCCCGUGAAGGCAAGGACUACAGUUUUUUCUCUUCAUCAUGCUGUCAUGACCUCAAAUAUUGCCCGGCACAUCACAUGCAAUCAGAAAUACUCAUGAACAAAUUAAUAUAAUUUAAUCACUUCAACUGAAAAUUGAGAGCACAAGGUCCCAAGAAGGUAAGUGGUCAGCCACACUGUCUAGGAC
rnacentral:lncRNA from 1 species